GCCCUGAGCCUUCCUGGACAGGAAGUCCUUAAGAUUAAAGAUUAUAUUUUUAUGGUCUCAUGCCUGCCUACUCCAAGCUAUUAACUGAAGAGAAAUGUAACUAGAAGUCAAUUUGUAGAAAGGAUAUUAACGGUCUUUGGUGUGUGUCACAAUGAAAAAUAGGAAGGAAUCAAGGUGGAGUAGUGGAGAGAAGAAACCAGCUUGGUUAUUGUUUGGAGUAUUGGAAAUAAGAGUAUUUCUGUGUGGAAGCGGAAUUGUCAUUGCAUAUGUAAUUAAAACAAAAUUGAUAAAAAACGUAGAUAUUAGGAUAUUAACAGGUAGGCCAUAUAAAGGAUUUCAUCUUACUUACUCCGGCUGCCUUUUUCAAAGCACUCUUUUUCCAAAGGAAUGUGCAGGAGAGAGAGGCUGUUUUCUUUGUUUGUUUUUCAGUUGUACUUGAUGCUGUGACGUAUCCUACAAUUGUCUAAAUGCAACGCGUUUUGAAAAUGUCAUUUCUUCACACCAGCCUGGUGGGUGACCUGUGGUUCUGCAUUUGAUAAACAUGCCCCUUGGGUUUAUAUUUUUGCAUUUACUGUUUGUCAAGAAAAUUUGAAGAAAAACAAAGAAAAAUGCAAAGAAGAAAAUAACAGUUAUCCAUGAUCUCAUCAUCCGAAGGUGGCUGUUUCAUGCCAGGGUCUGAGAAGCCGCGCUGGUUGAGGACUGGGACUAUUUUCCUGUGAACAUGCGAGGAAGGUUUGCUCCGUGUCCUCCUGGAAUGUGCUCUCCAGGGAAACUUUCCGGUGGUGAGAUCACUCCUGCAUGUAUGAAUCUUUGUUCUGAUACUUCCGACCGCAGUUCAUGCACAUAACCAGUGAAACGUGAAACAGGUUCCAUGGUGAGCAAGAAAUUCUGGAGGUUAUUCUGUUGUCCCCUGCAUCACAACUUAGGCCAACAUAGCAGCAGUCUCAAUGUCAUCAUCCUCCAUAGAGCCAAACUCGUUAAUGAACAAGUUACAGAACACGGG
rnacentral:lncRNA from 1 species